GAGUUUGAUCGUGGCUCAGAUUGAACGCUGGCGGCAGGCCUAACACAUGCAAGUCGAGCGGUAGAGAGAAGCUUGCUUCUCUUGAGAGCGGCGGACGGGUGAGUAAUGCCUAGGAAUCUGCCUGGUAGUGGGGGAUAACGCUCGGAAACGGACGCUAAUACCGCAUACGUCCUACGGGAGAAAGCAGGGGACCUUCGGGCCUUGCGCUAUCAGAUGAGCCUAGGUCGGAUUAGCUAGUUGGUGAGGUAAUGGCUCACCAAGGCGACGAUCCGUAACUGGUCUGAGAGGAUGAUCAGUCACACUGGAACUGAGACACGGUCCAGACUCCUACGGGAGGCAGCAGUGGGGAAUAUUGGACAAUGGGCGAAAGCCUGAUCCAGCCAUGCCGCGUGUGUGAAGAAGGUCUUCGGAUUGUAAAGCACUUUAAGUUGGGAGGAAGGGCAGUAAAUUAAUACUUUGCUGUUUGACGUUACCGACAGAAUAAGCACGGC
rnacentral:rRNA from 1 species